AAACCAACAGGGAUUGCCUCAGUAACGGCGAGUGAAGCGGCAAAAGCUCAAAUUUGAAACCCUCGGGAUUGUAAUUUGAAGAUUUGGCAUUGGAGAAAGCUAACCCAAGUUACUUGGAAUAGUACGUCAUAGAGGGUGACAACCCCGUCUGGCUAACCGUUCUCCAUGUAUUGCCUUAUCAAAGAGUCGAGUUGUUUGGGAAUGCAGCUCAAAGUGGGUGGUAAACUCCAUCUAAAGCUAAAUACUGGUGAGAGACCGAUAGCGAACAAGUACUGUGAAGGAAAGGUGAAAAGAACUUUGAAAAGAGAGUGAAAUAGUAUGUGAAAUUGUUGAUAGGGAAGGAAAUGAGUGGAGAGUGGUUUAGGUUUCAGCCUUCUUUCGAGGGGGUGCACUACAACGCCGAGUCAUUGAUAGCGAGACAGGGGUUAUAAACGGACGGCACUUGUGCUAUUCUCCUAACCCCUCUACUGCCA
rnacentral:rRNA from 1 species